GUUAGUAUCACGAGCAUUUGCAUGAAUUAUGAAGUUAAGCCAACUUAAUUGCCUAUGAUGAGUUAUGUGCGUAGUUCUUGAUUAGUAAUUUCAAUUGCAAUGCUAGGUUAGUACUUGGAAAUUGCUUGUGUUGGAAAUUGUAAUUCGCAUAUGUUCUUGAGAUAGGAUUUAGACGAAAUUCCAUGAAUUCUAGGAUUGAAUUGAGCACCCUUCAGCUUAGGUCUGUAAAUCUUAAGUUUGGGGGAACUGAGGGGUAGAUAUGCCUUUCUAAAAAAAAAAAAAAAAAAAAAAAAAAAAAAAGAAAAAAAAAAAAAAAAAAAUAGUAGUAAAUAAAUUCACUAAAAAAAUAAGUGGUAGAAUUAACUAGGUUGAGCUCAUUAGUACUCGAGUAAUUAAGUCUGAGGGGACUUUGUGCCUAACAACCUAAAGCCCUUCGUGGUUUGGGAUUGUUGACCCAACGCUCGCUACAUGGGUACUAGUGCAUAAAUCUUUAGGGAUCUCAACCAUUGCACGGUUAAAUAAACCACUAGAAUAGAGUGAAUAAUUGGUGUGUGAAGUCUUGUGGUGUUCGUAACGCAUUUACACUGCGAAGCGCUCUGACCUUAGACCGAGCAAUUAAUCACCAAUAUAAAAAGAAAAAAAAAAUAUAUAGUGAAUAAAAUAGAAGGGUGUGGACAUUCUUUGGGACCUUGGCUUUUAGUUGGACUUGAGUGACGGGGUGUUAGUUUUAAACUUUUACGAUUCUUGAUUGGGAUUCUGUGGGAGUAGUAGUUUUUGUCUUGUCU
rnacentral:lncRNA from 1 species